rnacentral:rRNA from 1 species
GGGUGAGGAAUAGAUAGGUAACGUACCUUGUACUUCGGGAUAAUUUCGUAUCGCAAGAUACUACCGAAAGGGACACUAAUACCGAAUAAUAUUUCCGGUCGUAUGACUGGUUCUCAAAGAUUUUAUCGGUGCGAGAGCGGCCUAUCUCCUAUCAGUUAGUUGGUGAGGUAACGGCCCACCAAGACUAUGACGGGUAGCGGGGCUGAGAGGUUGGCCCGCCACAUCGGAACUGAGGCACUGUCCGGACCUCCACGGAGGGCUGCAGUAACGAAUAUUGGGCAAUGGGCGAAAGCCUGACCCAGCGACGCCGCGUGCGGGAGGAAGUCCCUCGGGAUGUAAACCGCUUUCAGGGAGAAGAAAGGCGCAAGCUUGAUCUAUCCCAGAAGAAGCAACGGCUAACUUCGUGCCAGCAGCCGCGGUAAGACGAAGGUUGCGAGCGUUGUUCGGAAUCACUGGGCUUAAAGCGUAUGUAGGCGGGCCAGUAAGUAGUUUGUGAAAGCCCCCGGCUUAACCGGGGAAUCGCUUGCUAAACUACUG